UACGUAGGAGGCGAGCGUUGUCCGGAAUUACUGGGCGUAAAGCGCGUGUAGGCGGUCUGAAUAGUCUGCUGUGAAAGCGCCUGGCUUAACCGGGCGAGGUCGGCGGAAACUCUCAGACUGGAGGCCGGUAGAGGGGGGUGGAAUUCCCGGUGUAGUGGUGAAAUUCGUAGAUAUUCGGAGGAACACCAGUGGCGAAGGCGGCUCACUGGCUCGAUACUGACGCUGAGGUGCGAAAGCGUGGGGAGCAAACAGG
rnacentral:rRNA from 1 species